UCGAGGGGGAAUACGAGUGCAGAAUUCUUCGUAAAAGCUAUCUAUCAAACUACAAUUAAAAAUCUAAUAAGGCAAAAAAUCAUUCCUUCUCACGGAUUUACAUUAGAAGCUCGCUAACUGGCUUGAAUCUCCUUUCACUCUCCAAUUUUGAGGGUUUUGCAUAUGUUCUCCGGCACCUAAAUCUAUGCCACCUCCACCAUUUCCGACAAUGGAUUCAUGGUUAACCAGCUCAACGAUUCUUUCCGAUAAAAAGUGAAGUAAUCAAGAAAGGCUGAUAAUCCCAAAGUGUGAAAUAUUGAUAUUUAUCUUGUUUAAGUCACAAGGUGGAAUCAUCCAUAAUUUCGAGCAGGUCCCUAAGUUGAAGUCGUGCAUGAAGAAGAGCCACAAUGCUAGAUCGCGUAAUCUUAAAGAUGAAGGGCCAAAUGAUAGAAAAAUAGGAAAACUAUGCGAUUAUGCCUCCAAAAAUCCUUCACGCAUCCCAAAGUUAUGGACUAUGGAAUCUUUUAACGAAAAACACAUAAAUUUUGAUGGUGUACGUUGAUUCUUGUAUAUGUUUACUCCAAAUUCUCUUAACACAUAAUUUAGACAAUGACAUUUGGAGACAAGGCCUUAUGUGGCCUAUGCAACGGCAGCAGACCAUUAGUAUAAACCCUACUAGUAUUGCUGUCCAAAUGAAAACCUCAAUUGUAGAUGUAGCUUUAAACUUCCAAAAAGAAGUUGUAAUGUACGAGGGAUUCCAAAUUUUCAAAAGGAAAACAAAUUUACAAUUGAAAAAUCUGACAGACUCUAAGCUCCAUGUUUUUACAUCUAGUGAAGAUACCAUGGAGAUCAAAUCUAAAGCUUCUUGAUAAUUAGGAUUGUUAGAUUGAAAUCUAGAAAUUCAACCAUUGAAGAGAGGUCACCUUAGAGCCCUAUUACAGAAGUUUAAACAUUUGUAUGAUGGGUCUCUAACCUGUAUUGUUAUAAAUGUGCUUCUUAUUUUAGAUGGGCUUAUGGUAAUCAUAAUUCCCUUCUCUUGUUCCCACUUAAAGAUGUUAUCCUUUGUUCUCAUCAACUGUACAAUCCUCUUUUUCCCCUGUUUACUUUCUCUGAAUUAUGACAUGUGGGCUAAUCAGAUCCUCUGUUUGUUAUGUCAGUGUGCAUCUGAUAUUAGUCUAUAUAAGAUAUGUGUGACAGAGGCCUUUCUUUCAAUUUAUUGAAGAACUCUGAUCUUUGAGGAGCUAUGAUAUUUUAGAAGGGAUUUCCCAACAUGCUGGUCUUAAAUCCAAAGAACUAGAAUUUGCUUACUUUUAGAUUUGAACCUGAGAAAAAUGGUAUUUGAGCCCAUGAUCCUACAUUUUUCUUCUCUCCAGGAUGCCACUAAACAAACUUUUAUAUUGGAUCCAAUGAAUCAAUAGGGAUAUUUGUCAUGACUACUCUAUAUCAAGCUCAGAAACAAGAUUUGAUUUCCGCAUACAUACAUAUGCACCAGUCGAAGAGCUGGGAGGAUGGUGUAAAAAAAUCAAGAGUUUACAAGGGUUUACUUCAAGGCGGGGUGCUUGUAGCCAUCAAAAAGCGUCGUGCACUCCCGAGUCAUGAAUUUGUUGAUGAGGUAAUAAUCGGUUUCCUGAUCUAAAACUUGCUUGCACGAGGUACUGUGAAAUAAAUAAUUGAUGUGAAGUGACUUCAAUUGCCAUAGAGUGAAUAGUGACAAAGUUAGAAGUCUCCUUGAUGAAUUUCUUUAGAGAUGGUUAGUUAGUAAAAAAAUUUCCUUGAUUUCUUUCGUAUAUGUAUUUUUUUUUCUGAGUCAUGAAAAUAAUUUUAAACAGAUGCCCUUCUUUUUCUUCUAGUUUUACUUCUCUAUUCCUUAUCUGUUUCUGCUUCAGCAUUUUGAGUAGAAUUCUUUCGAAGUUGCUAGUUAGCCUCAUAUAUUAGUUGAUUCAGAAUGAUGAAAAUUACUUUGCACAUCAUUUCACACUUAACAGAAUAUUUGGUGUUCAAUAAUUUCUGAAUAAAGUCUUCAUUUUCUUUGUUCUGAAAUAUAUGCGAGCAUAAUCAGAAAUCAGUAUUUCUGUCCCACCCACAAAGCCUCUUGUCAAGUACUUUGAAACUUUUAACUAGUCUGGUGAUUAUUUCUGAGAUA